AGUGAACGCUGGCGGUAGGCCUAACACAUGCAAGUCGAACGGCAGCACAGUAAGAGCUUGCUCUUACGGGUGGCGGGUGGCGGACGGGUGAGGAAUACAUCGGAAUCUACUUUUUCGGGGGGGAUAACGUAAGGAAACUUACGCUAAUACCGCAUACUACCUACGGCUGAAAGCAGGGGAUCUUGAGACCUUUCGCGUUUGAUUUAGCCGAUGUCGGAUUAGCUAGUUGGCUGGGUAAAGGCACACCAAGGCGACGAUCCGUAGCUGGUCUGAGAGGAUGAUCAGCCACACUGGAACUGAGACACGGUCCAGACUCCUACGGGAGGCAGCAGUGGGGAAUAUUCGGCAAUGGGCGAAAGCCUGACGGAGCAACGCCGCGUGGGUGAUGAAGGUCUUCGGAUUGUAAAGCUCUGUUGUUGGGGAAGAAAAGCAGUAUGUGUAACCCUGGAUGUUCUGACGGUACCUAAAGAAAAAGCCACGGCUAACUUCGUG
rnacentral:rRNA from 1 species